rnacentral:lncRNA from 1 species
AUCUGAAUUAAUUAUUAUUUUUUGCUUUGUUUUACAGAUCAUUACUGAACAUGCUGAUGAAAUAUUGAUUUAUAAAAUAUCAUGUUACCAAGAUGACAUGCCUUGAAGAGCAAUACAGGGGGGAAUACCUCUAUUUCUAUCAAAUUACAACAAUACACCAAAGACAGUAGUUCUCGGAUGAAAUGAAAGGAUUGAUCAAAUGUUCAUGGUCAGCAGUGGAUAUUUGUGACUAUAAUAAAUGGAUACAAAGAAACUAUGAUGGAUAAAUAAUGGAUAUUCAGUUAAUGGACAUACAAAGGUCACAGAAAUGUCUAUUUUCAGGUACUGUUCUUGUUUGCCUGCGAACAGGCUGUAGAUACUUGUAUCCAGGCCAUUGUUUGUUUUGUUCUGGGUACAAUGAAAUCCGGCAUAAAUCCUGGCGGUCUAAAUGUUCAGUAUAUUUACAAAUUCGAUCUAUUUUCUGUUCAGUAGACUUCGAUAGCUUGAACGAAAGUUUAUAACGAUGAUUUUCUCUGCAAAAACUGUACUUUCAAAAUUCGUCAGCUUCUGACUUUGAUAACCGAUCUGAAAAAAAAAGGGGAACAUUUGAGUGUAUGGUUAGGCAAAAAAAUAUGUGGGUUUCCGGUUUCCCGACCCUACCUAGCUUUUGGACGUCGAAAAAUCCCGA